CAAGCGUGCCAGUGACUUUGUUUACGGCCGCGGUAUCCUAACCGUGCGAAGGUAGCGUAAUCACUUGUGCUUUAAAUAAGGACUAGUAUGAAAGGCACCACGAGGGUUAUACUGUCUCCUUUUUCUAAUCAGUGAAACUAAUCUCCCCCGUGAAGAAGCGGGGAUAAAAAAUAUAAGACGAGAAGACCCUAUGGAGCUUUAAACUACGUAACAAUUGCUUCAACUUUUACUUACAUUCAACAAUGUUUAAUACUUAUGAUAGCUCAAUGAUUACUAAUUUUAGGUUGGGGUGACCGCGGAGUACAAAAUAACCUCCACUUUGUUAUGAGGCACAACCUCUUAGCCAUGAAAUACACUUCUAAGCAUCAACUAAUUGACAUNAAUUGACCCANUACUUUGACCAACGAACCAAGUUACCCUAGGGAUAACAGCGCAAUUCGCCUCAAAAGCUCCUAUCGACAGGCGAGUUUACGACCUCGAUGUUGGAUCAGGAUAUCCAAGUGGUGNAGCCGCUACUAAAGGUUCGUUUGUUCAACGAUUAANANCCU
rnacentral:rRNA from 1 species